GAUGAACGCUGGCGGCGUGCCUAAUACAUGCAAGUCGAGCGAACGGACGAGAAGCUUGCUUCUCUGAUGUUAGCGGCGGACGGGUGAGUAACACGUGGAUAACCUACCUAUAAGACUGGGAUAACUUCGGGAAACCGGAGCUAAUACCGGAUAAUAUUUUGAACCGCAUGGUUCAAAAGUGAAAGACGGUCUUGCUGUCACUUAUAGAUGGAUCCGCGCUGCAUUAGCUAGUUGGUAAGGUAACGGCUUACCAAGGCAACGAUGCAUAGCCGACCUGAGAGGGUGAUCGGCCACACUGGAACUGAGACACGGUCCAGACUCCUACGGGAGGCAGCAGUAGGGAAUCUUCCGCAAUGGGCGAAAGCCUGACGGAGCAACGCCGCGUGAGUGAUGAAGGUCUUCGGAUCGUAAAACUCUGUUAUUAGGGAAGAACAUAUGUGUAAGUAACUGUGCACAUCUUGACGGUACCUAAUCAGAAAGCCACGGCUAACUACGUGCCAGCAGCCGCGGUAAUACGUAGGUGGCAAGCGUUAUCCGGAAUUAUUGGGCGUAAAGCGCGCGUAGGCGGUUUUUUAAGUCUGAUGUGAAAGCCCACGGCUCAACCGUGGAGGGUCAUUGGAAACUGGAAAACUUGAGUGCAGAAGAGGAAAGUGGAAUUCCAUGUGUAGCGGUGAAAUGCGCAGAGAUAUGGAGGAACACCAGUGGCGAAGGCGACUUUCUGGUCUGUAACUGACGCUGAUGUGCGAAAGCGUGGGGAUCAAACAGGAUUAGAUACCCUGGUAGUCCACGCCGUAAACGAUGAGUGCUAAGUGUUAGGGGGUUUCCGCCCCUUAGUGCUGCAGCUAACGCAUUAAGCACUCCGCCUGGGGAGUACGACCGCAAGGUUGAAACUCAAAGGAAUUGACGGGGACCCGCACAAGCGGUGGAGCAUGUGGUUUAAUUCGAAGCAACGCGAAGAACCUUACCAAAACUUGACAUCCUUUGACAACUCUAGAGAUAGAGCUUUCCCCUUCGGGGGACAAAGUGACAGGUGGUGCAUGGUUGUCGUCAGCUCGUGUCGUGAGAUGUUGGGUUAAGUCCCGCAACGAGCGCAACCCUUAAGCUUAGUUGCCAUCAUUAAGUUGGGCACUCUAAGUUGACUGCCGGUGACAAACCGGAGGAAGGUGGGGAUGACGUCAAAUCAUCAUGCCCCUUAUGAUUUGGGCUACACACGUGCUACAAUGGACAAUACAAAGGGCAGCGAAACCGCGAGGUCAAGCAAAUCCCAUAAAGUUGUUCUCAGUUCGGAUUGUAGUCUGCAACUCGACUACAUGAAGCUGGAAUCGCUAGUAAUCGUAGAUCAGCAUGCUACGGUGAAUACGUUCCCGGGUCU
rnacentral:rRNA from 1 species